rnacentral:rRNA from 1 species
AUUGAACGCUGGCGGCAGGCCUAACACAUGCAAGUCGAACGGUAGCACAGAGGAGCUUGCUCCUUGGGUGACGAGUGGCGGACGGGUGAGUAAUGUCUGGGAAACUGCCCGAUGGAGGGGGAUAACUACUGGAAACGGUAGCUAAUACCGCAUAACGUCGCAAGACCAAAGAGGGGGACCUUCGGGCCUCUUGCCAUCGGAUGUGCCCAGAUGGGAUUAGCUAGUAGGUGGGGUAACGGCUCACCUAGGCGACGAUCCCUAGCUGGUCUGAGAGGAUGACCAGCCACACUGGAACUGAGACACGGUCCAGACUCCUACGGGAGGCAGCAGUGGGGAAUAUUGCACAAUGGGCGCAAGCCUGAUGCAGCCAUACCGCGUGUAUGAAGAAGGCCUUCGGGUUGUAAAGUACUUUCAGCGAGGAGGAAG